AGUAACACGUGGGUGAUCUGCCCUGCACUUUGGGAUAAGCCUGGGAAACUGGGUCUAAUACCGAAUACACCUUGCUGGCUGCAUGGCUGGUGGGGGAAAGGCUUUUGCGGUGUGGGAUGGGCCCGCGGCCUAUCAGCUUGUUGGUGGGGUGAUGGCCUACCAAGGCUGCGACGGGUAGCCGGCCUGAGAGGGUGUCCGGCCACACUGGGACUGAGAUACGGCCCAG
rnacentral:rRNA from 1 species